GGAAAGUACUCUUCGGAGUUCGAAAUGGUCGCACCUUAAAACAGUGCGAGAGUAUCCAGUGGAGGACAAGUCAGGUGCCAGCACCCGCGGUAAUUCCUGCUCCACAAGCAUACACUAACGUUGCUGUAGUUAAAACGUUCGUAGUCUAUGUAAGUGUUUCUCGGUGGGGAUCGGGCUUAGUCAACCUUGGAUUAUGACGGGGAUCCGCUAAAUCUGAGGGACCCCGGGCAACUUCGGUUCCCGGCGGUCAGACUUUGCCUCUUGGUGAGCUACGCCGCACUCUCCCUUCUGGGUUUGCGCGGUAAUCAUGGUCCUCACUAGGGAAUACGUUCCACAACUGUGAAUAAAUCAGCGUGUUCAAAGCAAGCCAUCGGGAGGCUUCGGCCUCCUUUAUGCUUGAAUGUCCUAGCAUGGAAUUGUAACAAUUUGACCCUCGUGGUCAAUAAUAUGCAACAGGAAACGGACCGAGGACGCAAGUAUUUUGGCCCUAGGGGUGAAAUCCGAAAAAUGCCAAAAGACCACCAGACGCGAAGGCGGUGUCGUCCAGGGCGUUUCCGUUGAUCAAGAACGAGAGUCAAGGGAUCGAAGAUGAUUAGAUACCGUCGUAGUCUUGACCGUAAACGAUACUAUCAAGAAUUUGGGGACAUGAAACCAUUACUGAUCUCCUCAGGAUCUAAGGGAAACCGAAAGUUUUCGAGUUCUGGGGGAAGUAUGGUCGCAAGGCUGAAACUUAAAGGAAUUGACGGAAAGGCACCACCAGGCGUGGAGUCUGCGGCUUAAUUCGACCCAACACGGGAAAACUCACGAAGGCAAGAUGUAGAUAGGAUUGACAAGUUAAAGACUUUUCUUGAUUCUACAAGUGGUGGUGCAUGGCCGUUCUUAGUUCGUGGAUUAAUUUGUCUGGUUAAUUCCGAUAACGAACGAGACCCUGGCCGUUAAUUAGGUGGUCAUUUUCUUCGGAAAGUGUAUCUCGGAGUUGCAUUCUAUGCAAUCUCCUUUUACUUCUUAGCGGGACUGUCCCUGUUAAAAGGGAAGGAAGUUCGGGCAAUAACAGGUCUGUGAUGCCCUUAGAUGGCUUCGGCAGCACGCGUACUACAAUGUUAGUACCAGCGAGUGUAUGGGUUAUUAUAACUCUGCUAUUCCCAAGGGAAUGGCUAAUCUUUUAAAAUACUGACGUGACAGGGAUUGGCAAUUGGAAGUGUGCCAUGAACGAGGAAUGCCUCGUAAUCGCAAGUCAUCAACUUGCAAUGAUUACGUCCCUGCCUUUUGUACACACCGCCCGUCGCUCCUACCGAUUGGGGAAAGCAGUGAAAUGGAUGGAUCAGGGAAU
rnacentral:rRNA from 1 species